GACGAACGCUGGCGGCGUGCUUAACACAUGCAAGUCGAACGGAAAGGCCCUGCUUUUGGGGGGUGCUCGAGUGGCGAACGGGUGAGUAACACGUGAGUAACCUGCCCUUGACUGUGGGAUAACUUCAGGAAACUGGGGCUAAUACCGGAUAGGAGCUCCUGCUGCAUGGUGGGGGGUGGAAAGUUUCGGCGGUUGGGGAUGGACUCGCGGCUUAUCAGCUUGUUGGUGGGGUAGUGGCUUACCAAGGCUUUGACGGGUAGCCGACCUGAGAGGGUGACCGGCCACAUUGGGCCUGCGAUACGGCCCAGACUCCUACGGGGGGCAGCAGUGGGGAAUAUUGCACAAUGGGCGGAAGCCUGAUGCAGCAACGCCGCGUGCGGGAUGACGGCCUUCGGGUUGUAAACCGCUUUCGCCUGUGACGAAGCGUGAGUGACGGUAAUGGGUAAAGAAGCACCGGCUAACUACGUG
rnacentral:rRNA from 1 species